GGAAUCUACUCUACAGAAGUAUGUUCAAGUGUGCAAAGAUAUACAAAUAAGCACAGUGACCUUUUCCAUAAUUCACGCCUCAGUCCCCCAGAGCUAUCUAAAUCACAUCUGUCUACUGGCAUACAUGCCGCUGAACUGACUACUUAGGAGAAACAUUCCCUUUUAGAAAAUUACUGCAUGGCUCCUAGUCUUAUCAGGACUGCAAACAAAUUUUAAAAUUAAAGUGCUGAAAAUAAAACAAUACGCAAGGUUGGAUCAAACCAUGCCCACAGGAAAAUAGUAUCUUCAGAAGGUCAGAAACAGGAGAGGGAAAUCGCUGUCUACAAGGGAAGAGUAUGUAUGUCCU